GACGAACGCUGGCGGCGUGCUUAACACAUGCAAGUCGAACGGAAAGGCCCUGCUUUUGUUGGGUGCUCGAGUGGCGAACGGGUGAGUAACACGUGAGUAACCUGCCCUUGACUUUGGGAUAACUUCAGGAAAAUGGGGCUCAUACCGGAUAGGAGCUCCUGCUGCAUGGUGGGGGUUGGAAAGAUUCGGCGGUUGGGGAUGGACUGGCGGCUUAUCCGCUUGUUUGUGGGGUAGUGGCUUACCAAGGCUGUGACGGAUAGCCGGCCUGAGAGGGUUACCGGCCACAAUGGGACUAAGAGAGGGCCCAGAAUCCUACGGGAGGCAGCAGGCGAGAGUAUUACACAAUGGGCGGAAGCCUGAGGCGGCAACGCUGCGUGCGGGAUGACGGCUUUCGGGGUGUAAACCGCUUUCGCCUGUGACGAAGCGGGAGUGACGGUAAUGGGUAAAGAAGCACCGGCUAACUACGUG
rnacentral:rRNA from 1 species